rnacentral:lncRNA from 1 species
AUGAUUCAAACACAGCCCUGGCCAAUCAGCAUCUCCUCAUAGAGAUGAAUUGAAUCAAUAAAUCUCUAUGAGGAAAGUUCAGUGUCUGCAUGCAGUGGGAGGAGAUACUGAAUCACAGGAUGCUCGUGCACAGCAGAUCUGAGUGGAAGGAGGCAUAUUAUGCCUCCAUCAACUCAGAAGUCCCUCUGAUUCACUCUGAGUGACUGCAACUGAAG